UCCAUGUUCUUGGGAAAGAUUUAGUAUGAGUUAAGGUACAUUUAGAUGCUAUUACUAUAAUAGGCCUACUACUCAAUAUAUCUAGAAAGUUUUCGGUAGGCCUAUUUAGCGCACUAAGUGACUAACCAUAGGGUUGGGCAGAGAAGAAUGGGAAUGUUAAUUUGAAGAAUUCAAAUUGCAUGAACGUUUUCUCGGAGGUUCUCGCGAAUCUAUUUAAGUCCGAACAUUGAUGUCAAGUGUAGGGGGGAUGGGCAACACUGACAUUCACCACCCGUAUACUACAACGACAUCUCUCAAAUAUACGUAGCAAUCAUAAGACAAAACAGGUUCCAGAUUCACACAGCGCAGAAGCAUGGACGUCAAACAAAUACACAACAACAUUAUUCAGACUUAGGGCAGAAAGAAUUUUAGGACAGUGAAGAAAGAAAAGACAGACCCUGACGAUAGACACAAGUGAUGACCAGACAGACAGACAAAUAAAUGACAGAUAGUAGACAGAUAGACAAUAAAAAGACAGUCAGAUAGAAGACAUACAGACGAUAGACAGACAGAUAGACAGACAGAUAGAACACAUACAGACGAUAGAUAGACAAAUAGAUAGACAGACAGAUGGAAGACAUACAGACGAUUUACAGACAGACUGAUAGAAGACAUACAGACGAUGAACAAAUAGAAAACAUACAGACGAACGACUAACAGACAGAUAGACAAACAGAUAGAAGACAUACAGACGAUGAACAAAUAGAAAACAUACAGACGAACGACUGACAGACAGAUAGACAGACAGAUAGAAGACAUACAGACGAUGAACAAAUAGAAAACAUACAGACGAACGACUGACAGACAGAUAGACAGACAGAUAGAAGGCAUACAGACGAUUGACUGACAGACAAAUAGACAGACAGAUAGAAGACAUACAGACGAAAGACAGACAAAUAGAUAGACAGACAGAUAGAAGACAUCCAGACGAUUGACAGACAUACAGAUAGAAGGCUUACAGACGAUGAACAGACAGAUAGGAAACAUACAGACGAACGACUGACAAACAGAUAGGCAGACAGAUAGAAGACAUACAGACGAUUGACAGACAGAUAGACAGACAGAUAGACAGAUAGAAGACAUAAAGACUAUUGACAGACAGAUAGACUGAUAGAAGACAUACAGACGAUUGACAGACAGACAGACAGACAGAUAGAAGACAUACAGACGAUUGUCAGACAAACAUAAAGACAGACAGAUAGAAGACAUACAGAUUAUUGACAGAUAGACAGACAGAUAGACAGACAGAUAGAAGACAUACAGACGAUUGACAGACAGACAGACAGAUAGAAGACAUACAUACGAUAGAUAGACAAAUAGAUAGACAGAUAGAAGACAUACAGACGAUUGACAGACAGACAGACAGACAGACAGACAGACAGAUAGAAGACAUACAGACGAUUGUCAGACAGACAUAUAGACAGACAGAUAGAAGACAUACAGAUUAUUGACAGACAGACAGAUAGACAGACAGAUAGAAGACAUACAGAUUAUUGACAGACAGACAGACAGACAUCUAGAUAGAAGACAUACAGACGAACGAGUGACAGACAGAAAGACAGAUAAAAGACAUACAGACCAAGAACUGACAGACAGAAGACCUACAGACGAUAGACAGACAGAUAGAUAGACAGAUAGAAGACAUACAGACGAUGGACUGACAGACAGAUAGUAAGACAGACAGACCGAACACUAGGCUCGCAAUCACUAGGCCCCUAAUACUAAACAAUUCUAGCACGCACUCCAAGACACGAGAAUACGCAACGGACGUAAAUAACUUCUCUUUUGAAGGACCGUCUGUGAUUCAUAAGACAAACAUACUAGACAGACGACCGACAGAAAGACAGUAAUCAGAAAGAAGAUGAAAAUAUUGAUAAUGGACAGACCAUAGACUUAUCUAUUAUAUUUAGACUGGAAACCGGAAAAAAAUUCUUAUUCGCUAUUGAUCAAUUCACAGACCUAUAGAUUUUUUUAUAGACUAUAUAUAUACAGGACUGCCAACUGUGCGCACCACGCCUAAUAUUUUUCAAUUAAAUAAGUCCCGUACACCGAGGCAUCCUUGGUUGCAGGGUAAUGUUGGUAGAAUGACUUCCCGUGAAAUAGUUUACUAUAGAAAGAAACCAUCACUAAAGAUUUUAAUCACCACUUUUACACCAAAUGAUGAAUGGAAACUCAAUUGUCAUCGAAGAGUUUUCAGAGCUCCAGUCAGCCUCGAGUCAAGAUGACCGUUAGUUUCUAAAUUCGACUCAUGUCUACGUCACCCCCUUGAUGACCAAACGUGAAGUGCUACAUCAGACGUGUGGCUACAAACUCUCUGUCACACUAUGUAGCAACCACUUGACUGAGUCUUGACCAACUAUGUCACCAGUAACAUGACGCCUCUGAGUGCUGGGAAGCGCUUCAAAUCUCGUUUGAUUGUCAGCAGAUGUUGGUCUAAAAGCCGGAAAGCCUCCAGACUUGGUAAUGGAUGGUUUCGAAACGUCGCAACAAAAAAAAAAUAUACUUAAGUCCAAACCAAAUAUUUGUUUAGACAUUUGUAUCAAGUUUGUUACAUUGUUACAGCAAGUGUAAUAAAUUAGAACAUUGGAUCUAUCAAA